GAAAAUAGAGAAAAGAAGUGACCUUGGGCAACCCGCCCAUGUUUGAGAAAAUUGAGAGAUGAAAGCCUUUCCAAGGCUUUUGCCUUAAGAGAUCCACCCCAUUUGGAAGAGAAAUGAAGGGAAAAUAGCUUUGUGAGGCUUCCACCCCAGAGGAGAGAAAGAGUUGAGUGAAAAGGCAAACUAAGUGAGGGCUUGGUUUUGUGAGAUUUUAGAGCACCUGUGAGCUUAUUCUUGUUAUUUUCCUAUCAUCAAGCUUCAUUGCUCCUAGAAAUUCAUCCUUUAUUAAGAGAUAUGGGUUAGAUCUCAUGGUAGCUAAGAAAUAUCAAGGAAAAGGACUAGAAACCGUAAGGAAGAAAGUGUGAAUGAUUCACAGGUUCAAGGAAAGUUUAGCAAAAAGAACACCAUGUGGGUGCCAAGAAACCCAUGCAUGUUGGUGACUCCAAGCUAAGGAAGCAAGAAUCUUCAAGGAUUCAAGAACCGGAUGCAUGCAUGUAGGUGGAUCUUGGAAUGCAUGGUGAUUUUGAGCUAGAUAAGUAUUGGGAAGUGUGUAAGUGAGGAAAGUUUGCCGUGGUGGUGUACCGGAGGAGAUAACGGGUGACCGACAAGUAGAAUUAGCUAAAUAUGCACCCGAAUCGAUAACGACGUAGUGUCCCGCUAUUAUAAGAGAAGUGAUCAGCUAGCGUGCUUUUUAUAGGCAUAUUAUGGUCCACUGCGAUGUAGGCUAAGGCAUCUCCUAGUACCCUAUUUCGAGUCGCUUCGCUGUUAGAGGUCAGGUCAUUUAUAGUAUAUUUUGUUUUGGAAGUAAACAUUUGUGUAGAAUGUAAACAUAUAUUUAUAUGAUGAUAAAACAUAAUGUAUAGAGAGAAUAUUUGCUAUUAAUGAAAUUGUGAUGAUUAUGAGA
rnacentral:sRNA from 10 species